rnacentral:rRNA from 1 species
CACGUAGGCACCAAGCGUUGUCCGGAUUUAUUGGGCGUAAAGAGCUCGUAGGCGGUUCAGUAAGUCGGGUGUGAAAACUUUGGGCUUAACCCAAAGCGUGCAUCCGAUACUGCUGUGACUUGAGUUCGGUAGGGGAGUGGGGAAUUCCUAGUGUAGCGGUGAAAUGCGCAGAUAUUAGGAGGAACACCGGUGGCGGAGGCGCCACUCUGGGCCGAAACUGACGCUGAGGAGCGAAAGCAUGGGUAGCAAACAGG